UGCUCACUUCAAUAGCACACAUACUAAGUUGGAACUAUACAGGGAAGACUGGCAUGGCCCCUGUGCAAGGAUGACAUGCAAAUUUGUGAAGCGUACCAUUAAAAA